rnacentral:rRNA from 1 species
ACGCUGGCGGCACGCCUAACACAUGCAAGUCGAACGAAGUAGCAAUACUUAGUGGCAGACGGGUGAGUAACAUGUAGGUAUCUGCCCUUUGGCCUGGAAUAACACGAGGAAACUUGUGCUAAUACCGGAUAAGUCUUUACGGAGAAAGCUUUAUGCACCAUUGGAUGAGCCUGCACUUGAUUAGUUUGUUGGUGGGGUAAUGGCCUACCAAGACUGUGAUCAAUAGCUGAUUUGAGAGGAUGAUCAGCCACAUUGGGACUGAGACACGGCCCAAACUCCUACGGGAGGCAGCAGUGGGGAAUCUUGCACAAUGGAGGAAACUCUGAUGCAGCGAUGCCGCGUGAGUGAAGAAGGCCUUUGGGUUGUAAAGCUCUUUCGUCGGGGAAGAAAAUGACUGUACCCGAAUAAGAAGGUCCGGCUAACUUCGUGCCAGCAGCCGCGGUAAUACGAAGGGACCUAGCGUAGUUCGGAAUUACUGGGCUUAAAGAGUUCGUAGGUGGUUGAAAAAGUUAGUGGUGAAAUCCCAGAGCUUAACUCUGGAACUGCCAUUAAAACUUUUCAGCUAGAGUAUGAUAGAGGAAAGCAGAAUUUCUAGUGUAGAGGUGAAAUUCGUAGAUAUUAGAAAGAAUACCAAUUGCGAAAGGCAGCUUUCUGGAUCAUUACUGACACUGAGGAACGAAAGCAUGGGUAGCGAAGAGGAUUAGAUACCCUCGUAGUCCAUGCCGUAAACGAUGUGUGUUAGACGUUGGAAAUUUAUUUUCAGUGUCGCAGGGAAACCGAUAAACACACCGCCUGGGGAGUACGACCGCAAGGUUAAAACUCAAAUGAAUUGACGGGGACCCGCACAAGUAGUGGAGCAUGUGGUUUAAUUCGAAGAUACGCGCAGAACCUUACCAACACUUGACAUGUUCGUCGCGACUCUAAGAGAUUAGAGUUUUCGGUUCGGCCGGACGAAACACAGGUACUGCAUGGCUGUCGUCAGCUCGUGUCGUGAGAUGUUGGGUUAAGUCCCGCAACGAGCGCAACCCUCACUUUUAGUUGCCAUCAUUAAGUUGGGCACUCUGAAAGAACUGCCAGUGAUAAGCUGGAGGAAGGUGGGGAUGACGUCAAGUCCUCAUGGCCCUUACGUGUUGGGCUACACACGUGCUACAAUGGUAUCUACAACAGGAAGCAAGACUGCGAAGUUAAGCAAAUCCCUAAAAGAUACCUCAGUUCGGAUUGCACUCUGCAACUCGAGUGCAUGAAGCUGGAAUUACUAGUAAUCGUGGAUCAGCGUGCCACGGUGAAUGCGUUCCCGGGUCUUGUACACACCGCC